UGGGGAAUAUUGCACAAUGGGGGAAACCCUGAUGCAGCGACGCCGCGUGGAGGAAGAAGGUCUUCGGAUUGUAAACUCCUGUUGUUGAGGAAGAUAAUGACGGUACCCAACAAGGAAGUGACGGCUAACUACGUGCCAGCAGCCGCGGUAAAACGUAGGUCACAAGCGUUGUCCGGAAUUACUGGGUGUAAAGGGAGCGCAGGCGGGAAGACAAGUUGGAAGUGAAAUCUAUGGGCUCAACCCAUAAACUGCUUUCAAAACUGUUUUUCUUGAGUAGUGCAGAGGUAGGCGGAAUUCCCGGUGUAGCGGUGGAAUGCGUAGAUAUCGGGAGGAACACCAGUGGCGAAGGCGGCUUACUGGGCUUUAACUGACGCUGAGGCUCGAAAGCGUGGGGAGCAAACAGGAUUAGAUACCCUGGUAGUCCACGCCGUAAACGAUGAUUACUAGGUGUGGGGGGACUGACCCCUUCCGUGCCGCAGCAAACGCAAUAAGUAAUCCACCUGGGGAGUACGACCGCAAGGUUGAAACUCAAAGGAAUUGACGGGGGCCCGCACAAGCAGUGGAGUAUGUGGAUUAAUUCGACGCAACGCGAAGAACCUUACCAAGUCUUGACAUCCGUUGACCGCUGUAGAAAUACAGUUUUCCUUCGGGACAGCGAGACAGGUGGUGCAUGGUUGUCGUCAGCUCGUGUCGUGAGAUGUUGGGUUAAGUCCCGCAACGAGCGCAACCCUUAUGGUCAGUUACUACGCAAGAGGACUCUGGCCAGACUGCCGUUGACAAAACGGAGGAAGGUGGGGAUGACGUCAAAUCAUCAUGCCCUUUAUGACUUGGGCUACACACGUACUACAAUGGCGUUAAACAAAGAGAAGCAAGACCGCGAGGUGGAGCAAAACUCAGAAACAACGUCCCAGUUCGGACUGCAGGCUGCAACUCGCCUGCACGAAGUCGGAAUUGCUAGUAAUCGUGGAUCAGCAUGCCACGGUGAAUACGUUCCC
rnacentral:rRNA from 1 species